rnacentral:lncRNA from 1 species
CCUGCUCGACUGCUCUUUUUCAGCACCCACUUGAAUCAAUAUUGUUGACUUUUCUCCUUUUUUCAAGAUUAGUUUUCACUUUUGAACCUUUUUUCCUCUUUACUAAUUUUGCAUGCUCGAUUUCUUCAAGCAGAUUUAAGGGUAUAUGGUCAUUAACCUUUUUUGUCCUUCUUUCUUUCUCCAUUGCAGCAAUAGAGCCUGGAUUUUUGGCUUGUUGUUGAGUA